rnacentral:snRNA from 8 species
AUCGCUUCUCGGCCUUUUGGCUCAGAUCAAGUGUAGUAUCUGUUCUUAUCAGUUUAAUAUCUGAUACGUCCCCCAUCGGGGGACUACAUAUUAAAUGGAUUUUUUGAACAGGGAGUCGGAAAUGGGGCUUGCUCCGUCCGCUCCACGCAUCGACCCGGUAUUGCAGUACCUCCGGGAACGGUGCAACACUU